UACGAAGGGGGCGAGCGUUGUCCGGAAUCAUUGGGCGUAAAGAGCGUGUAGGCGGCCCGGUAAGUCCGCUGUGAAAGUCCAGGGCUCAACCCUGGGAUGCCGGUGGAUACUGUCGGGCUCGAGUCCGGAAGAGGAGUGUGGAAUUCCUGGUGUAGCGGUGAAAUGCGCAGAUAUCAGGAGGAACACCAAUGGCGAAGGCAGCACUCUGGGACGUGACUGACGCUGAGACGCGAAAGCGUGGGGAGCAAACAGG
rnacentral:rRNA from 1 species